rnacentral:rRNA from 1 species
UCCGUCAGAGCACUUUUUUGUGUGAUGGCGUGCCUUUUGAAGAAUGAGCCUGCGAGUCAGCGGCAUGUCGCGAGGUUAACCCGUGUGGGGUAGCCGUAGGGAAACCGAAUCCUAAUGGGGUGGUUAGUGGCAUGUCCUGGACCCGAAGCGGGGUGAUCUACCCAUGGCCAGUGUGAAGCAGCUGUAAGAGGUUGUGGAGGCGCGAACCCACGUAGGUUAAAAACUGCGGGGAUGAGCUGUGGGUAGGGGUGAAAGGCCAAUCAAACUCCGUGAUAGCUGGUUCUCCCCGAAAUGCAUUUAGGUGCAGCGUCGUAUUAUAGCUUGGUGGAGGUAGAGCGACUGGUUGGUUGAGCGGGACUACAAUCUUAGCAAUGUCAGCCAAACUCCGAAUGCCAUCAAUUGUGUUGUGCGGCAGUGAGACUGUGGGGGAUAAGCUUCAUAGUCGAGAGGGAAACAGCCCAGAUCGCCGGCUAAGGCCCCUAAGCGUGUACUAAGUGGAAAAGGAUGUGGGAUCGCUUAGACAACCAGGAGGUUGGCUCAGAAGCAGCCACCCUUGAAAGAGUGCGUAAUAGCUCACUGGUCAAGUGGUCCUGCGCCGACAAUGUAGUGGGGCUCAAGUACACCGCCGAAGCCGCGGCAUUCCUUUUUGGGAUGGGUAGGGGAGCGUCGUGUAUCCGUUGAAGCUGCAGAGUGAUCUAGUGGUGGAGGGUAUGCGAGUGAGAAUGCAGGCAUGAGUAGCGAAUGACAUGUGGGAAACAUGUCCUCCGGAUGACCAAGGGUUCCUGGGCUAGGCUAAUCCUCCCAGGGUGAGUCGGGUCCUAAGGCAAGGCCGACAGGCGUAGUCGAUGGAUAACGGGUUGAUAUUCCCGUACCCGUAUAAGCGCGCCCAUGGUGAAUCAGUGAUACUAACUGUCCAGAAGCUGCUGUUUUCUCUUUUUAAGGAGAUGGUUGUGGAUGCACAGGACCUGAUCUGGUAGUAGCCAAGCGAUGGGGUGACGCAGGAAGGUAGCUGUGCCAGGUAGUGGAUUGCCUGGUGUAAGCGUGUAGGGUGACAGGUUGGUAAAUCCGCUUGUUGUGUACCUGAGACGUGAUGCGUAGCCAUUGUGGUGAAGUUAGUGAUCCUAUGCUGCCGAGAAAAGCCUCUAGUGAGUUCUUAUGCGGCCCGUACCCUAAACCGACACAGGUGGUCAGGUAGAGAAUACUAAGGAGUUCGAGAGAACUGUGGUUAAGGAAUUCGGCAAAAUGCCCCCGUAACUUUGGAAGAAGGGGGACCGAUGUUGGUGAGCACUUUUUCGGUGUGAGCUGGUGUUGGUCGCAGAGACCAGAGAGAAGCGACUGUUUACCAAAAACACAGGUCCGUGCGAAGACGUAAGUCGAUGUAUACGGACUGACGCCUGCCCGGUGCUGGAAGGUUAAGAGGACUGGUUAGUGGCCCUUGUGGCUGCGAAGCUGAGAAUUUAAGCCCCAGUAAACGGCGGUGGUAACUAUAACCAUCCUAAGGUAGCGAAAUUCCUUGUCGGGUAAGUUCCGACCUGCACGAAUGGCGUAACGACUUCUCUACUGUCUCAACCACAGACUCGGCGAAAUUGCAUUACGAGUAAAGAUGCUCGUUACGCGCGGCAGGACGAAAAGACCCCGGGACCUUUACUAUAGCUUGGCAUUGGUGUUCGGUUUUGUUUGUGUAGGAUAGGUGGGAGACUGUGAAGCUCAUGCGCUAGUGUGGGUGGAGUCGUUGUUGAAAUACCACUCUGAUGAAAUUGGACUUCUAACCUCGGACCAUGAUCUGGUUUAGGGACAGUGCCUGGUGGGUAGUUUAACUGGGGCGGUUGCCUCCCAAAGAGUAACGGAGGCGCCCAAAGGUUCCCUCAGCCUGGUUGGCAAUCAGGUGUUGAGUGUAAGUGCACAAGGGAGCUUGACUGUGAGACUGACAAGUCGAACAGGGACGAAAGUCGGGACUAGUGAUCCGGCACCGGCUUGUGGAAGCGGUGUCGCUCAACGGAUAAAAGGUACCCCGGGGAUAACAGGCUGAUCUUCCCCAAGAGUCCAUA